rfam:Myotis lucifugus cont2.20303, whole genome shotgun sequence.
GGCAGUUCUCAGGUGACGCACCCCGAAAUUUGGCUCACUUCUCUCUGGUUCCCGGUACAUCACCCGAGAACUGCC